CAGUCGCCACGGGAAUACAGAGGUUGCGAGCGUUAAUCGGAUUUACUGGGCGUAAAGCGUGCGUAGGCGGCUUUUUAAGUCGGAUGUGAAAUCCCUGAGCUUAACUUAGGAAUUGCAUUCGAUACUGGGAAGCUAGAGUAUGGGAGAGGAUGGUAGAAUUCCAGGUGUAGCGGUGAAAUGCGUAGAGAUCUGGAGGAAUACCGAUGGCGAAGGCAGCCAUCUGGCCUAAUACUGACGCUGAGGUACGAAAGCAUGGGGAGCAAACAGGAUUAGAUACCCCUGUAGUCCCUGUCUCUUAUAC
rnacentral:rRNA from 1 species